rnacentral:rRNA from 1 species
UACGGGGGGGGCAAGCGUUCGUUCGGAAUUACUGGGCGUAAAGAGUGUGUAGGCGGUGUUCCCAGUCUGUUGUGAAAUCUCCCGGCUUAACUGGGAGGGUGCAGCGGAAACUAGAAUGCUAGAGGGUGGGAGAGGUAAGCGGAAUUCCUGGUGUAGCGGUGAAAUGCGUAGAUAUCAGGAGGAACACCUGUGGUGUAGACAGCUUACUGGACCACUUCUGACGCUGAGACACGAAAGCGUGGGUAGCAAACAGG